CCGAGCGGACAACGCCAUAACGUAGCCUGCCUUCUUUUAGGCACAGGAGAGGGCGGCGGGAGAACGUGCUGAUGGCGUAACAGAAAAGGGGUGAAUGGGAAAGAACGCGCCGGCCACCUGGAGCUUAGGCUCGAGGCGUUCUGGACACUUCAUCCGGCCCCAGAGGCCCGUAUCUCCCUAUUCGGGAACUGUACAGGUCCAUUUUAUAGGCAAGAAGGGAAACGUAAAGGAGGUGGUCCUGCAGGUGAGCUUUCAAAGUCAGGCGUGUAAGUGUGUAAGUAGGUGGAAAUCCAGAUACUCGAGGAAACCAGAAUAAUUCAGGAUCCAGCCCGAUGUUAAAGAGGUCAUGUAGACUUCUGGGUUUUCUGUGCCUCUAAGAUUGUCCUAGUGAUGUAGUUCCUGCUUGGGAAAACAUGCAGAAAUUAACAGUUGAAAAAAAUGCUUUCUGGAGGAAGUCUCUGAGUUAAGUCUCUGAGUUUAUGGUCUUUUUUGAUUUGAUAGUUAUUAAAGUUCCUUUCCAGUGGUUCCCGGCUGUUUUAUUUAAGCAACAGCUAUUAGGGAUAAAUUCUUUCUCUUAGACUGUGUGAAUAGUUUUAGAAAUUUAAUAGAGUUCAACAAAAAUGUUCUUUGCUCUCAAGGACCUUAGAUUUGUGUAUGGAAUGCAAAGAUACAAUACAUAGUCAAUAAAAUGAGAUUAAAUUCAGUGAUGAUGCUGUGCCACAGUGUCUUCUAGGAGUGCAGGAGGAGUGAUUUCAACCUUGCCUUGGGGAGUCUGGGAAGUUUUCUUGAACACGUCGAAGUAGUGGGUGUGGUAGUGAAGCCACCAGGUGUGCCUCCUUAGUAAAAAUUUAAGUAUUUGGAAAUGACAUUUUGAAAUAGUAGCUGUCCCCUAAACUUGUCAUACUACGUAAACUAAAGUAGCAAAUUCAGUUCUUGAUAAAUAAAACUACAUAUUUUAUUUAUUAACAUUUCUAUUUAUUACUAACAGUUGUAGUUUGAGGAUUUUUCUCCCUUAAGUUAUUGGCUUUAAUAUUUAGGGGCUUCACCUGUGACUCUAAUACUUCUCUUACUAGGGACCAUCUAGUAUAGAAAUUCAGUAAUAGCAGAUAAUACCAAAAUCGCCUUCAGUUAUACUCAGAAAUAGAGACAUUUUUCUUGCAAGUCUUUUUUUUGUCUCAUUCUAGCAUGACUAGGAUUCAAAUGCAUAGCUAAUA